rnacentral:tRNA from 1 species
GGCGGCAUGGCCAAGUGGCUAAGGCAACGGAUUGCAAAUCCGUCAUCCCCGGUUCGAGUCCGGGUGCCGCCUCCA